AGUGAACGCUGGCGGUAGGCCUAACACAUGCGAGUCGAACGGCAGCACAGUAAGAGCUUGCUCUUACGGGUGGCGAGUGGCAGACGGGUGAGGAAUACAUCGGAAUCUACUUUUUCGUGGGGGAUAACGUAGGGAAACUUACGCUAAUACCGCAUACGACCUACGGGUGAAAGCAGGGGAUCUUCGGACCUUGCGCGAUUGAAUGGGCCGAUGUCGGAUUAGCUAGUUGGCGGGGUAAAGGCCCACCAAGGCGACGAUCCGUAGCUGGUCUGAGAGGAUGAUCAGCCACACUGGAACUGAGACACGGUCCAGACUCCUACGGGAGGCAGCAGUGGGGAAUAUUGGACAAUGGGCGCAAGCCUGAUCCAGCCAUACCGCGUGGGUGAAGAAGGCCUUCGGGUUGUAAAGCCCUUUUGUUGGGAAAGAAAAGCAGCAGGUUAAUACCCCGCUGUUCUGACGGUACCCAAAGAAUAAGCACCGGCUAACUUCGUG
rnacentral:rRNA from 1 species